UACGUAGGGGGCGAGCGUUGUCCGGAGUUACUGGGCGUAAAGCGCACGCAGGCGGUCUGCUAAGUUUGGAGUGACAGUUGGUGGCUUAACUGCCAAAGUGCUUCGAAAACUGACAGACUUGACGGCUUCAGAGGGACACGGAAUUCCGGGUGGAGUGGUGAAAUGCGUAGAGAUCCGGAGGAACACCAAAGGCGAAGGCAGUGUCCUGGGGAGUACCUGACGCUCAGGUGCGAAAGCCAGGGGAGCGAACGGG
rnacentral:rRNA from 1 species